GCUACAGGCUUAACACAUGCAAGUCGAGGGGUAGCACGGAGGAAGCUUGCUUCCUUAGGUGACGACCGGCGCACGGGUGAGUAACGCGUAUCCUACCUACCCAUUACUCGGGCACAGCCGCUCGAAAGAGUGAUUGAUUCCCGAUAUGUCAACAGAGUAGAUUUGUUGAUGAAAGAUUUAUCGGUAACGGAUGGGGAUGCGUGACAUUAGGUAGAUGGCGGGGUAACGGCCCACCAUGCCUACGAUGUCUAGGGGUUCUGAGAGGAAGGUCCCCCACACUGGAACUGAGACACGGUCCAGACUCCUACGGGAGGCAGCAGUGAGGAAUAUUGGUCAAUGGCCGGAAGGCUGAACCAGCCAAGUAGCGUGAAGGAUGAAGGUUCUAUGGAUUGUAAACUUCUUUUAUACGGGAAUAAAACCUCCCACGUGUGGGAGCUUGUAUGUACCGUAUGAAUAAGCAUCGGCUAACUCCGUGCCAGCAGCCGCGGUAAUACGGAGGAUGCGAGCGUUAUCCGGAUUUAUUGGGUUUAAAGGGAGCGUAGACGGGAGAUUAAGUCAGUUGUGAAAGGCUGCGGCUCAACCGCAGCACUGCAGUUGAUACUGGUUUCCUUGAGUGCGGUUGAGGUGUAUGGAAUUCGUGGUGUAGCGGUGAAAUGCUUAGAUAUCACG
rnacentral:rRNA from 1 species